rnacentral:rRNA from 1 species
UACGUAGGGGGCGAGCGUUGUCCGGAAUUACUGGGCGUAAAGGGCACGCAGGCUGUGUAUCAAGCCAUCUGUAAAAGGAUGCGGCUUAACCGUGUUAAGCAGAUGGGACUGAUGUACUGGAGUGCUGGAGAGGCAAGCGGAAUUCCCUGUGUAGCGGUGAAAUGCGUAGAUAUAGGGAAGAACAUCGGUGGCGAAGGCGGCUUGCUGGCCAGUAACUGACGCUGAGGUGCGAAAGCCAGGGUAGC